GACUCAGCAGUGAGAAGGGCCUGUCAGAGAGACCCAAGUCACACCUGGAGGCCCUCCCUUGCAUCUAGGCCUAGGGCUGAAUACAGCCCUGAUGAGUGAAGCCUGGAAACCAGCAGGCAGGCAAGGCUUCUCCAGCAAGCACACUCAGGACAGGGAUCAACAGGCCAUAAGGUUCCCUCCAGAACAGGCACAACUGCUGCUACUCUGCAGGUUUCUCUGGUUCUCUGGUGGAAUGUACUAAUGGGGAUGGAACAAGAAAUCUGGGCUAGCAGCUUCUGCAAACAUUGAAGGAUGUGGGGUGGAAAAAAGCACUUGCUCAAUAUGCUUUGGAGAUAGCACCAGGGCCUGAUGGUGAGCCUGGUACCAAUGAUGGAAGAGAUGGCAUCCAGUAUGGCUUCUGGCAAUCUGCAUCACUUUAUUCUGUCUUACUAUUUGUUUUUGUUUUGUUGAGAGAGGGUUUCUCUGUGUAGUUUCAGUGCCUGUCCUGGAUCUCACUCUGUAGUCCAGGCUGGCCUCAAACUCACAGAGAUCUGCCUGCCUCUGCCUUGAGUGUUGGGAUUAAAGGCGUGUGUCACCAACGCCAGGCCCGUUUUACCAUUAAAAAUAACCUGAAGCUGGGUAA